CCGUUCUCAGUUCGGAUCGGAGUCUGCAACCCGACUCCGUGAAGCUGGAUUCGCUAGUAAUCGCGCAUCAGCCAUGGCGCGGUGAAUACGUUCCCGGGCCUUGUACACACCGCCCGUCACACCAUGGGAGUUGGGAGCACCCGAAGCCGGUGAGCUGACCGCAAGGAGGCAGCCGUCGAAGGUGAGACCGAUGACUGGGGUGAAGUCGUAACAAGGUAAC
rnacentral:rRNA from 1 species